UACGGAGGGGGCUAGCGUUGUUCGGAAUUACUGGGCGUAAAGCGCACGUAGGCGGCUUUGUAAGUUAGAGGUGAAAGCCCGGGGCUCAACUCCGGAAUUGCCUUUAAGACUGCAUCGCUAGAAUUGUGGAGAGGUAAGUGGAAUUCCGAGUGUAGAGGUGAAAUUCGUAGAUAUUCGGAGGAACACCAGUGGCGAAGGCGGCUCACUGGUCCGGUACUGACGCUGAUGCGCGAAAGCGUGGGGAGCAAACGGGG
rnacentral:rRNA from 1 species